CACUCACACACGCAGGGCCGCUAUCUGGGAGUCCUUUCACACAGUUUGACUGUAGGCAAUCUAAAAUGGGAGAAAAUGACAUGCUCCGAGUCAAAUGACGGAGUCACAGCUAAACGGCAAAGCAGAAAACCAGCAAUUAUUUUUCUUCGGCACAAUAUGGGGAGCACGACAGGUGCAAUUAUCCAAUAUUAUUUAACAGCACUGGUUUGUGGUGUAGGGAGAAAAUAAAGGUUUCCGUGUCUUGGAGAGGAAAAAAAAGAGAGAGAGAAAGAACCUGCCUCUGGCUCCUGUUUCUGUGGAUUAAGCUGUUAUGUAAAUUGAAACUGGCCAGGCUUCCAGAGAGGGAAAGAGGACCACCUGGCCCCCUCACCUGUCCGCCCCGUCCUCAGCAGGCUCCGGCAAGCGGCCCUGGACCUCUGAGCAGAGGCCCCCACAACCUACUCCAGAGGCAAUGGCUCCUAGAAAUCGUCCUCUCCCUAGAGGGACACGGCCUCCUGCAUUUCACUCACCUUUCCACAGCUGCACACGGUGAGUGAGAGAGGAGGUGGCCCCACAGGGAUGGCUUCAUCCUCUUCUGGGUCCCCCCUUUUGGGCCCCAGCACAUAGUUAUCCUACUCUCAAGCCCUUGUUUGAGCUAAUCUACCUGGGAAGACCCUGGUCUCCCAGCUACCGUGGAAGGAACCAGUCAUUGUCCCUGGCUGCAGACUUCACCUGAGGGCCACUGAGCCCCUCUCCUAAAAGUUUUUUGUACCCCUCCAGGGUUCCUGAACUCCCACACCGUCCACAUCACUGUCUGCACAUUCCCCUGGGCCUCAGUUUCUUUCCUGGUGUGGAAGGCCAAAGGGAACGCCCACUGGAGACCCUGACCAGACCUACGUUCCCAUUCUGUCUGCAUUGUUCUUUCUCUGUACUGGACCUGGGGAAGACAGUUUGCUUAUCUGAGCUGGGAUUCCUUAUCUGCAAAGAUAAGAUUACAAUAUCUACCAUGAUUAGAUAAGAUUAUCCAAAGUGGUGGCUGCAAGUGCC
rnacentral:lncRNA from 1 species